rnacentral:tRNA from 1 species
GGCAGUGUGGCUUUGUGGCCAGAGCACGGGCCUGUGAGUAAGAAAGAGGACCUGGGUUCUAAUUCCAGCUAUGCCA